rnacentral:rRNA from 1 species
AGCUUGCUCCUUUGACGUUAGCGGCGGACGGGUGAGUAACACGUGGGUAACCUACCUAUAAGACUGGGAUAACUUCGGGAAACCGGAGCUAAUACCGGAUAAUAUUUCGAACCGCAUGGUUCGAUAGUGAAAGAUGGCUUUGCUAUCACUUAUAGAUGGACCUGCGCCGUAUUAGCUAGUUGGUAAGGUAACGGCUUACCAAGGCAACGAUACGUAGCCGACCUGAGAGGGUGAUCGGCCACACUGGAACUGAGACACGGUCCAGACUCCUACGGGAGGCAGCAGUAGGGAAUCUUCCGCAAUGGGCGAAAGCCUGACGGAGCAACGCCGCGUGAGUGAUGAAGGUCUUCGGAUCGUAAAACUCUGUUAUUAGGGAAGAACAAACGUGUAAGUAACUGUGCACGUCUUGACGGUACCUAAUCAGAAAGCCACGGCUAACUACGUGCCAGCAGCCGCGGUAAUACGUAGGUGGCAAGCGUUAUCCGGAAUUAUUGGGCGUAAAGCGCGCGUAGGCGGUUUUUUAAGUCUGAUGUGAAAGCCCACGGCUCAACCGUGGAGGGUCAUUGGAAACUGGAAAACUUGAGUGCAGAAGAGGAAAGUGGAAUUCCAUGUGUAGCGGUGAAAUGCGCAGAGAUAUGGAGGAACACCAGUGGCGAAGGCGACUUUCUGGUCUGUAACUGACGCUGAUGUGCGAAAGCGUGGGGAUCAAACAGGAUUAGAUACCCUGGUAGUCCACGCCGUAAACGAUGAGUGCUAAGUGUUAGGGGGUUUCCGCCCCUUAGUGCUGCAGCUAACGCAUUAAGCACUCCGCCUGGGGAGUACGA